rnacentral:rRNA from 1 species
UUCGUAGGCGGUGUGGCAAGUCGGGAGUGAAAUCUCUGGGCUCAACCCAGAGUCUGCUUCCGAAACUGCUGUGCUUGAGUGUGGGAGAGGCGCGCGGAAUUGCAGGUGUAGCGGUGAAAUGCGUAGAUAUCUGCAGGAACACCCGUGGCGAAAGCGGCGCGCUGGACCACUACUGACGCUGAGGAACGAAAGCUAGGGGAGCAAACA